UGUGAAUCGAGUAUAUCUUGGGACAGAGUAUAGGAGUGAUGGAAGGGUUAAUGUCCAAAUACAUGUAAAUCUUCAUUAAUUUAAUAAAAGUUUUUUUCUAUGCCUUGAUAAUGUCACAAUCUAAAAGCUGGGCAUUCCAUCUGUUACCAGAUAAUGGUUUCUAACGGAGACUCAGAGCAUGGAAUCUGUUUCAAUCAAAAUUUUUAAGAGGGAUAAAAAAGAUAGCCUCAGGAUGAUUUGCUGUAGUGAGCACAUAAGUCUUGGUUCAUGGGGGAAUGUUUAUUUGAGGCUGACCUGUCUUCUGCAAAAUUAAUGUACUUGUAUUGAUAUACCAGCUGCUUGUGUGGUUUGAAGAUUAAUGGAAGAUGCACCAGCAGACUCAUUCCCACUCGUGUCAUUACUGUCCCCAAUGUGGCUAACUUUGUCCCUACACAAAGUGACACCUACCAAAGAA